rnacentral:ncRNA from 1 species
ACUUUAGAGUGAAAAAACACAGUUCGGUUGGUAGUCCGGACGCAAUAAUUAUUUAAUUAUUGUCAGUAACCUUCCCCCCUGGGAUGUCCAUCACUCAUGUAAUAAAC